rnacentral:miRNA from 1 species
AAUUGAGUUGGCCAAAAAGUUUGUUGGGGUUUUUAUGUAAGAUGUUAUGGGAAAACUGGGAUGAACUUUUUGGCCAACCCAAU